AAAAAGAAUAAAGGCUCCUUACCCUUCUUCUUUGUACCUGUAGAGAGAAAUAGAAGAAAAAAACAAUACAAAAUACAUUCUUAUCUCAAAUCUAAUCUCCCUUGUUCAAAGCCUCAACAACCCAUGAAUCAACAAACCAUAUGCAUCAUUUAUCACAACAAAAGUCAAAAGGGAAAUACAAGAAGAUUACCGAUCGGAGAUGACAAAAGGGAAGCGGCCGAAAAUGCAAAGAGAGGAAGUCGGUGGUGGAAAUCUUUAUGCAGAGGCAGACAAAUUUGGGGUAUGACAAUAUGUAAUAUAAAAGUACUAAUAUUAAUAUAA